CCCUUAGAUGUCCGGGGCCGCACGCGCGCUACACUGAAGGAAUCAGCGUGGCUUUCUCCCUGACCCGAAAGGGUUGGGAAACCCGUUGAAUCUCCUUCGUGAUAGGGAUUGGGGCUUGAAAUUGUUCCCCAUGAACGAGGAAUUCCCAGUAAGCGCGAGUCAUAAGCUCGCGUUGAUUACGUCCCUGCCCUUUGUACACACCGCCCGUCGCUACUACCGAUUGAACGGUUUAGUGAGGGCCUCGGAUUGGUCUCGGCCCGCUCUUUACCGGGCGGCGCCGUUGGUCGAGAAGACGCUCGAACUUGAUCGUUCAGAGGAAGUAAAAGUCGUAACA
rnacentral:rRNA from 1 species